rnacentral:rRNA from 1 species
GACGAACGCUGGCGGCGUGCCUAAUACAUGCAAGUUGAGCGCUGAAGGUUGGUACUUGUACCAACUGGAUGAGCAGCGAACGGGUGAGUAACGCGUGGGGAAUCUGCCUUUGAGCGGGGGACAACAUUUGGAAACGAAUGCUAAUACCGCAUAAAAACUUUAAACACAAGUUUUAAGUUUGAAAGAUGCAAUUGCAUCACUCAAAGAUGAUCCCGCGUUGUAUUAGCUAGUUGGUGAGGUAAAGGCUCACCAAGGCGAUGAUACAUAGCCGACCUGAGAGGGUGAUCGGCCACAUUGGGACUGAGACACGGCCCAAACUCCUACGGGAGGCAGCAGUAGGGAAUCUUCGGCAAUGGACGAAAGUCUGACCGAGCAACGCCGCGUGAGGGAAGAAGGUUGUCGGAUCGUAAAACUCUGUUGGUAGAGAAGAACGUUGGUGAGAGUGGAAAGCUCAUCAAGUGACAGUAACUACCCAGAAAGGGACGGCUAACUACGUG